rnacentral:rRNA from 1 species
AUUGAACGCUGGCGGCAGGCCUAACACAUGCAAGUCGAGCGGAUGAAGGGAGCUUGCUCCUGGAUUCAGCGGCGGACGGGUGAGUAAUGCCUAGGAAUCUGCCUGGUAGUGGGGGAUAACGUCCGGAGACGGGCGCUAAUACCGCAUACGUCCUGAGGGAGAAAGUGGGGGAUCUUCGGACCUCACGCUAUCAGAUGAGCCUAGGUCGGAUUAGCUAGUUGGUGGGGUAAAGGCCUACCAAGGCGACGAUCCGUAACUGGUCUGAGAGGAUGAUCAGUCACACUGGAACUGAGACACGGCCCAGACUCCUACGGGAGGCAGCAGUGGGGAAUAUUGGACAAUGGGCGAAAGCCUGAUCCAGCCAUGCCGCGUGUGUGAAGAAGGUCUUCGGAUUGUAAAGCACUUUAAGUUGGGAGGAAGGGCAGUAAGUUAAUACCUUGCUGUUUUGACGUUACCAACAGAAUAAGCACCGGCUAACUUCGUG